GGAUGACUCGUUAUGACCACAAGGAAGUCGAAGCACGAUAGCACCAUGAUCAUGAAAUAAGAUACUUUACUUCGAAUAUAUGCAGAGGAUUUCCAAAAACUGACGAUCACCAAUGUGUUUAAAAUCAUUCCUAUGCAAAUAAGCAUUACGUUCACAACGCACAAAAAUAUUAACUGAAUGUAAACUUUCAAAUCCAUCUUCGAAUGAUAAAAUCAACAAAUUGAACAUUAGCUUCCGUGUUGUUGUAUGUUCUAUCAAAGGGAACAGAGCGUAGGCGGACUAUACGGCAAUCACUAUACGGAUACUCAGGAAUUUGAAUAUGGAUACUCAGGGAUAUCACUUCC